UACGUAGGGGGCAAGCGUUGUCCGGAAUCAUUGGGCGUAAAGCGCGUGUAGGCGGCUGACUAAGUCCGCUCUGAAAGCCCGGGGCUCAACCCCGGGAGGCGGGUGGAUACUGGUCAGCUCGAGUCCGGAAGAGGAGUGUGGAAUUCCUGGUGUAGCGGUGAAAUGCGCAGAUAUCAGGAGGAACACCAAUGGCGAAGGCGGGUCUCUGGGCCGAUACUGACGCUGAGGAGCGAAAGCGUGGGGAGCGAACAGG
rnacentral:rRNA from 1 species